ensembl:lncRNA
AUGUUUAGGCCCUCAAAAAUGCGAUUCAUUUUGGAGAAGAAGAAGAAGAAGAAGAAGAAGAAGAAGAAUUAAAGCUGCAAGCAGCGAUGAACGGGCCCUCGCACCCGGGCUCACCACCACCGGGUGGCUUUUGUAAAACAGCGAACGGCGAGAAAUAUGCUUUUAAUGUGGUAAAUAUAAGAGGAAUAUGUCAAAGUAAUUUAUAUGUGCCAAUCUUCCUGCUGCCAGCUGGUGGCGCUAUGACUAUAACUGGAUUUUGUCAUGUAAAUUUCUUCAGUCCAGCACUUUUAUCAAGCAUAUGAAAUUUAGUGCAGAUUGAACAUGGAAUGUUUGAGUUAGUAUAAAGCAUGUUGUGUCCUAUUGCCAACAGGUGGCGCUAUGAUUAUAACUGAACAUUGGCCUUUAGAUAUCUUCAGGCCAUGACUCUUAUCAAAUAUUUGAAGUUUGGUGCAGAUUGGACAUUGCAUGUUUAAGUUAGUGUAAAACAAGCCAUUUCCUGUUGCCAGCAGGUGGCGCUAUGAUUAUAGUGGAAUAAUGACCUUCAGAUGUGUUCAGGCCAAGACUCUUUUCGAACAUGUGAAGUUUGGGGAAGAUCGGACAACUUAUGCCUGAGUUACAACAAAUUCUAUUCCCAUGGCGAGACAUCAAACUUUGUCACGGCGCCAUGGCCACACCCUUU